rnacentral:misc_RNA from 1 species
CUGGAACGCGCCCCAGGCGCACCCAGAAACCCUUUGUGAACUUAUACCUUACUGUUGCCUCGGCGCAUGCCGGCCCCCAGGGGCCCCUCGGAGACGAGGAGCAGGCACGCCGGCGGCCAACCUAACUCUUGUUUUUACACUGAAACUCUGAGAAAAAAAACAAAAUGAAUCA